GGGUUGUGAGGUUAAGCGACUAAGCGUACACGGUGGAUGCCCUGGCAGUCAGAGGCGAUGAAGGACGUGCUAAUCUGCGAUAAGCGUCGGUAAGGUGAUAUGAACCGUUAUAACCGGCGAUUUCCGAAUGGGGAAACCCAGUGUGAUUCGUCACACUAUCAUUAACUGAAUCCAUAGGUUAAUGAGGCGAACCGGGGGAACUGAAACAUCUAAGUACCCCGAGGAAAAGAAAUCAACCGAGAUUCCCCCAGUAGCGGCGAGCGAACGGGGAGCAGCCCAGAGCCUGAAUCAGUGUGUGUGUUAGUGGAAGCGUCUGGAAAGGCGCGCGAUACAGGGUGACAGCCCCGUACACAAAAAUGCACAUACUGUGAGCUCGAUGAGUAGGGCGGGACACGUGGUAUCCUGUCUGAAUAUGGGGGGACCAUCCUCCAAGGCUAAAUACUCCUGACUGACCGAUAGUGAACCAGUACCGUGAGGGAAAGGCGAAAAGAACCCCGGCGAGGGGAGUGAAAAAGAACCUGAAACCGUGUACGUACAAGCAGUGGGAGCACGCUUAGGCGUGUGACUGCGUACCUUUUGUAUAAUGGGUCAGCGACUUAUAUUCUGUAGCAAGGUUAACCGAAUAGGGGAGCCGAAGGGAAACCGAGUCUUAACUGGGCGUUAAGUUGCAGGGUAUAGACCCGAAACCCGGUGAUCUAGCCAUGGGCAGGUUGAAGGUUGGGUAACACUAACUGGAGGACCGAACCGACUAAUGUUGAAAAAUUAGCGGAUGACUUGUGGCUGGGGGUGAAAGGCCAAUCAAACCGGGAGAUAGCUGGUUCUCCCCGAAAGCUAUUUAGGUAGCGCCUCGUGAAUUCAUCUCCGGGGGUAGAGCACUGUUUCGGCAAGGGGGUCAUCCCGACUUACCAACCCGAUGCAAACUGCGAAUACCGGAGAAUGUUAUCACGGGAGACACACGGCGGGUGCUAACGUCCGUCGUGAAGAGGGAAACAACCCAGACCGCCAGCUAAGGUCCCAAAGUCAUGGUUAAGUGGGAAACGAUGUGGGAAGGCCCAGACAGCCAGGAUGUUGGCUUAGAAGCAGCCAUCAUUUAAAGAAAGCGUAAUAGCUCACUGGUCGAGUCGGCCUGCGCGGAAGAUGUAACGGGGCUAAACCAUGCACCGAAGCUGCGGCAGCGACGCUUAUGCGUUGUUGGGUAGGGGAGCGUUCUGUAAGCCUGUGAAGGUGUGCUGUGAGGCAUGCUGGAGGUAUCAGAAGUGCGAAUGCUGACAUAAGUAACGAUAAAGCGGGUGAAAAGCCCGCUCGCCGGAAGACCAAGGGUUCCUGUCCAACGUUAAUCGGGGCAGGGUGAGUCGACCCCUAAGGCGAGGCCGAAAGGCGUAGUCGAUGGGAAACAGGUUAAUAUUCCUGUACUUGGUGUUACUGCGAAGGGGGGACGGAGAAGGCUAUGUUGGCCGGGCGACGGUUGUCCCGGUUUAAGCGUGUAGGCUGGUUUUCCAGGCAAAUCCGGAAAAUCAAGGCUGAGGCGUGAUGACGAGGCACUACGGUGCUGAAGCAACAAAUGCCCUGCUUCCAGGAAAAGCCUCUAAGCAUCAGGUAACAUCAAAUCGUACCCCAAACCGACACAGGUGGUCAGGUAGAGAAUACCAAGGCGCUUGAGAGAACUCGGGUGAAGGAACUAGGCAAAAUGGUGCCGUAACUUCGGGAGAAGGCACGCUGAUAUGUAGGUGAAGUCCCUCGCGGAUGGAGCUGAAAUCAGUCGAAGAUACCAGCUGGCUGCAACUGUUUAUUAAAAACACAGCACUGUGCAAACACGAAAGUGGACGUAUACGGUGUGACGCCUGCCCGGUGCCGGAAGGUUAAUUGAUGGGGUCAGCGCAAGCGAAGCUCUUGAUCGAAGCCCCGGUAAACGGCGGCCGUAACUAUAACGGUCCUAAGGUAGCGAAAUUCCUUGUCGGGUAAGUUCCGACCUGCACGAAUGGCGUAAUGAUGGCCAGGCUGUCUCCACCCGAGACUCAGUGAAAUUGAACUCGCUGUGAAGAUGCAGUGUACCCGCGGCAAGACGGAAAGACCCCGUGAACCUUUACUAUAGCUUGACACUGAACAUUGAGCCUUGAUGUGUAGGAUAGGUGGGAGGCUUUGAAGUGUGGACGCCAGUCUGCAUGGAGCCGACCUUGAAAUACCACCCUUUAAUGUUUGAUGUUCUAACGUUGACCCGUAAUCCGGGUUGCGGACAGUGUCUGGUGGGUAGUUUGACUGGGGCGGUCUCCUCCUAAAGAGUAACGGAGGAGCACGAAGGUUGGCUAAUCCUGGUCGGACAUCAGGAGGUUAGUGCAAUGGCAUAAGCCAGCUUGACUGCGAGCGUGACGGCGCGAGCAGGUGCGAAAGCAGGUCAUAGUGAUCCGGUGGUUCUGAAUGGAAGGGCCAUCGCUCAACGGAUAAAAGGUACUCCGGGGAUAACAGGCUGAUACCGCCCAAGAGUUCAUAUCGACGGCGGUGUUUGGCACCUCGAUGUCGGCUCAUCACAUCCUGGGGCUGAAGUAGGUCCCAAGGGUAUGGCUGUUCGCCAUUUAAAGUGGUACGCGAGCUGGGUUUAGAACGUCGUGAGACAGUUCGGUCCCUAUCUGCCGUGGGCGCUGGAGAACUGAGGGGGGCUGCUCCUAGUACGAGAGGACCGGAGUGGACGCAUCACUGGUGUUCGGGUUGUCAUGCCAAUGGCACUGCCCGGUAGCUAAAUGCGGAAGAGAUAAGUGCUGAAAGCAUCUAAGCACGAAACUUGCCCCGAGAUGAGUUCUCCCUGACUCCUUGAGAGUCCUGAAGGAACGUUGAAGACGAUGACGUUGAUAGGCCGGGUGUGUAAGCGCAGCGAUGCGUUGAGCUAACCGGUACUAAUGAACCGUGAGGCUUAACCUUACAACGCCGAAG
rnacentral:rRNA from 1 species